UACGGAGGGUGCAAGCGUUAUCCGGAUUCACUGGGUUUAAAGGGUGCGUAGGCGGAUAAGUAAGUCAGUGGUGAAAUCUCCGAGCUUAACUCGGAAACUGCCGUUGAUACUAUUCGUCUUGAAUAUUGUGGAGGUAAGCGGAAUAUGUCAUGUAGCGGUGAAAUGCUUAGAUAUGACAUAGAACACCAAUUGCGAAGGCAGCUUACUACACAAUGAUUGACGCUGAGGCACGAAAGCGUGGGGAUCAAACAGG
rnacentral:rRNA from 1 species